ACGGAGGGUGCAAGCGUUGUUCGGAAUUACUGGGCGUAAAGCGCGUGUAGGUGGUCGAGUAAGUCGAAUGUGAAAGCCCCGGGCUCAACCCGGGAAGUGCAUCCGAAACUGCUCGACUAGAGUCCCGGAGAGGAAGGCAGAAUUCCCAAUGUAGGGGUGAAAUCCGUAGAUAUUGGGAGGAAUACCGGUGGCGAAGGCGGCCUUCUGGACGGUGACUGACACUCAGACGCGAAAGCGUGGGGAGCAAACAGGAUUAGAUACCCUGGUAGUCCACGCUGUAAACGUUGCGAACUAGGUGUCGGGGGUAUUCACCCCUCCGGUGCCGAAGCUAACGUCUUAAGUUCGCCGCCUGGGAAGUACGGCCGCAAGGCUA
rnacentral:rRNA from 1 species